UGCUGAGACUACAAAUGAUCUGGGUUAAUAAACGCGCGCUUAAAGAUCAAAACACACAACAAGGAAUUUUUGCGAACUAGAUUUAAGUUUUAAAACGAAAGCGACAACAUAGAACUAGACCGCAGAUGUUCCCAUUUACAUUGGCUUACAGAAGAAUGUUAAGAAGAAUUUCAAUAAUUUCUUGCUGAUAAUGGAUGAGAUGGAGGAUUCCAAUUUCACAGAGAACACCCAAGGACAGUCCAGUUUUAUAAUAUUACCAUCCCAAGAGGAAUCCCAACAAGAAUCCCAACCUGACAAACAAAUGAUCAAAAUCAUCAAAAAUCUGCCGGCUUUACAAAAUCCAGACAAGGCAGUAUUGUCAAGUGAUACGUGUACUGAUGAGGAGCAUGAAAAAGG